CCUACGGGUGGCAGCAGUGAGGAAUAUUGGUCAAUGGACGCAAGUCUGAACCAGCCAUGCCGCGUGCAGGAAGACGGCUCUAUGAGUUGUACACUGCUUUUGUACGAGGGUAAACGCAGAUACGCGUAUCUGUCUGAAAGUAUCGUACGAAUAAGGAUCGGCUAACUCCGUGCCAGCAGCCGCGGUAAUACGGAGGAUUCAAGCGUUAUCCGGAUUUAUUGGGUUUAAAGGGUGCGUAGGCGGUCGGAUAAGUUAGAGGUGAAAUCCCGAGGCUCAACUUCGGAAUUGCCUCUGAUACUGUUCGGCUAGAGAGUAGUUGCGGUAGGCGGAAUGUACGGUGUAGCGGUGAAAUGCUUAGAGAUCAUACAGAACACCGAUUGCGAAGGCAGCCUACCAAGCUACUUCUGACGUUGAGGCACGAAAGCGUGGGGAGCAAACAGGAUUAGAUACCCUAGUAGUC
rnacentral:rRNA from 1 species